rnacentral:rRNA from 1 species
CUCGUCGUCGUCAUCGUGUUCCUCGUUGAGGAAUGUCAUGUUAAAACCUCAUGAGAACCACAUUUAGUUGAAGCGAUUAAAAGUCCAAGUCUAGUUAGUCGGUGUUAGCCAGGUAAAAAGUCCUUCAUGGACGUCAGUUGUCGUCACCGUCUCCGUCAGCGGCUAUCGUCGUCCUCUACGUCAGCGGUUGUCGUCAUCGUCCAGGCGCGCCUGAGCUAGCCCGCCCGACGUCGCCGUCGUCAUCCACCGCCCGCUGCCGUCGCCGUCGUUGUCCAGGGCGGUGGCCCCUUCUGGGCGCACCGGGACGGACGGCUUCAGUCGCUCUCCCCUUGCUGCAGACCCCAACGGCGUCCGCGCUCCUUGGCCGCGGCCGCUCCUCGCGCUGCUCCUCCUCCACGGGCAGCUCCACCAGCGGAACCUCCUCGUCGGCGUCAGCCCCAGCCCGAGGAGCUACUGCGUCCGCCGCGGCCGCGACCUCCGCUACGACGACGGGGCGAGCGGCCGGCACGAGCUCGGGGAGCUAGAGGAGGGAGGAGGCCCUGCGCCGGCACGACGAGGAGCCACUAGGACCUGCGCCUGCGCCGGCAGGAGGAGUCGCUAGGGCACCGGCUGCCGCCGCCGCUUCAGGCGCCCGUCCAGUCGCCCCGCCUCCCUCUCGCGCCGGCCCCGGCCUGCCACCUGC